AUGGAAAUGGAAGAACUGAACCAUGCGUUGGCAGCACCGCAUGUUUCAACGCUGGCGGAGAUGACUGUACAGGGAUUCUUGCUAGCGGCUGAACGUGAGAAGAAAAGACAGAGAGAUGUUUUGGCAGGUUGUACCAAGCAAGCAAGUGCCGCUCCACCCGCUGUUGAUUCAUCUCUCCAUGGACUUGCAUGUUCUCCUGCUGCUCCUGCUGCAGUGCUUCAUUGUUCUGCUUCAGCUCGUCAUGCUUCACCAGAACUCCCAGAACGACCUCACAACAAGCUGCUGAAGAACCUGUAUUCAGACAAGACGGUGGUUGUGGGUAUUCUCGGGGCACACAGGAGUGAGUACAGGGGUAGGGUCCGUCCCUUGAAAAGUGGGCAUGUUCAUGAUGUUCAUACUCCUAGUCGUUUUAUGGUUCAGAUAGAUUUAGAUCAGAAUCUUCAAUUGUUCGUGCUGCCGAAAGGAGUCGAGAAAUUCUUCAAGGGCACAGUCCCUCAGUGCAUAAAGUUGCGCACAAGCAUCAUUGCCACUGGAACGUACAUUUGA
rnacentral:rRNA from 1 species